rnacentral:rRNA from 1 species
GCUUACGGCCAUACCAGCCUGAAAGCGCCCGAUCUUGUCAGAUCUCAGAAGCUAAGCAGGGUCGGGCCUGGUUAGUACUUGGAUGGGAGACUUCCUGGGAAUACCAGUUGCUGUAAGAU